rnacentral:lncRNA from 1 species
GGAGAGAACAUGUGGCAUUUUUUCUAUAAGGAGGAUGUCCACAGAAGUCUUCACUGAGUGAGUUAAACUGGAACGAGAAUUACAACAGUCAUCAUCUAAAGAAAGCAAGAGAAUAUUCUUUCAGAUACUGUGUACUGAUGAAACUGCUGACUCAGCUGGUCUGAAGGACCCCACUGGCACUGGCUGGUCUGAAGGACCCUGCUGAUCACAACUUGCCUGAAGGACCCUACUGACAUCAGCUGUUGUCCAAAGGACGCCACAAGAAACUGACUCACCAAAAAAUGCAUCCUGAUGAUUUCAUCCCCCUUAACCCGACCAAUCAACAACCCCAAAUCUACACAGCCCCUUUCCCUCCAUGAUUCCUACAAAACUCCAGCCCAGAACUCCUCAGGGAGAUGGAUUUGAAGGUCUCCUCCCUUCUACUUGCUUGAUGCCCUAUUAUUAUUAAACUCUUUGCUACAAACCCUGC